rnacentral:tRNA from 1 species
GGUGCCUCCGCCCCGGGGCUCGACGGGGACGACGUACGGCGCCUGGUGGGACUCUGCGCGCAGGACGCCCACGUCUUCGACAGCACC